rnacentral:rRNA from 1 species
GAUGAACGCUAGCGGCAGGCCUAACACAUGCAAGUCGAGGGGUAGAAGUCUUCGGGCUUUGAGACCGGCGCACGGGUGCGUAACGCGUAUGCAAUCUGCCUUACACUAAGGGAUAGCCCAGAGAAAUUUGGAUUAAUACCUUAUAGUAUAUUGAUGUGGCAUCACAUUAUUAUUAAAGAUUUAUCGGUGUAAGAUGAGCAUGCGUCCCAUUAGCUAGUUGGUAUGGUAACGGCAUACCAAGGCAAUGAUGGGUAGGGGUCCUGAGAGGGAGAUCCCCCACACUGGUACUGAGACACGGACCAGACUCCUACGGGAGGCAGCAGUGAGGAAUAUUGGACAAUGGGCGCAAGCCUGAUCCAGCCAUGCCGCGUGCAGGAUGACGGUCCUAUGGAUUGUAAACUGCUUUUAUACAGGAAGAAACCCUACUACGUGUAGUAGAUUGACGGUACUGGAGGAAUAAGGAUCGGCUAACUCCGUG